rnacentral:rRNA from 1 species
AUACGGAGGAUGCAAGCGUUAUCCGGAUUUAUUGGGUUUAAAGGGUGCGUAGGCGGGACUUUAAGUCAGUGGUGAAAUCUUGCAGCUUAACUGUAAAAUUGCCAUUGAUACUGAAGUUCUUGAAUAUAGUUGAGGUAGGCGGAAUGUGUAGUGUAGCGGUGAAAUGCAUAGAUAUUACACAGAACACCAAUUGCGAAGGCAGCUUACUAAGCUAUUAUUGACGCUGAGGCACGAAAGCGUGGGUAGCGAACAGGAUUAGAUACCCUUGUAGUCC